GGGGGGGGGUUUUCUCGCGGCCUAUCGCCGUGUUGAUGUAGGAAUGUCCUACCAAAGACUGCGACCGAUAGCGGCGGUGAGAGACUGGCCUGCCACACUAGGAAUCAGACACUGGCCAGACGCCGACCCGAGCACCAAUGGAGAAGAUUCAACAAGAACAGAAACAUGAGCCAGCAACGCUGGCGUGAACCAUCACCCCCGACUGAUUAAAAACGUCUGUCAAUACCGACGAAUUCCCUUUGAUGAUAAUGACGGUACCUAGAGGAGAACCACCGGCUAACUGCUUGCCAUCAGCCGGGGUAAUACGUAGGGUGCUAGCGUUGCCCGGAAUGAUUGGCCGUAAAGGGCUCGUAGGCGGUGUGUCACGUCGGGAGUGAAAUCAUUUGGCUUAACCGAAGGCUUGCUUGCGAUACUGUUAGACUAGAGUUAUUCAGRGGAUAAUGGAACUCCUAGUUGUAGAGGUGAAAUCCGCAGAUAUCAGAAGAACACCAGUGGCGAAGGCGCUUCGCUGGCAUUACCUGACCCUGAUACGAAAGUUUUUAGAGCAAACAGGAUUAGAUACCCUAGUAGUCAAGACAAAUUCCACCACACUGCGCCGUUACUAUAUCCACC
rnacentral:rRNA from 1 species